rnacentral:lncRNA from 1 species
AAAAAAAAACUCUAUUUUUUUAAACCGAUCCCUUGGGCAGCCCCGCCUGGGAGAAGCGCGUCCGCUCAUCCGCCUGCAUCCGCUGCCAGCCCGGCGGAUUCUCUGUCCUUGUCACCGGCUUCAACCAAGGGAGGCAGGGGCAAGCCCAAAGUCGUUUCUCUUCGCCUCUCUCCCUUCUUCUUGCUCUAGGGAAUACUCAGAAGCCGAGGCUCUCAUGGAUUCCAUACUUGGUAUGAUUAGAGGGCCAAAGAAGAAGGAAGCAGAGAAGGAGGCGGUUCGGCGCCUCGAUUUUCGGAUCGAAACCUUCGAUUCCGUCUCUCACCUCUGCACUUUCGAUGCUGAUGGCCGCCUCUUUGUGAAGGGUAUCCUUACAGUGUGAACGAAGGCUACUUGACUCACACGCAAUUUCGGGCACUUCAGCACUUCUCCAGUGUUGCACUAUCCGUCUUAUCAACUCAGCAUACGUUUGCCCUGACAACCGAUGUGGGCUCUGGCUCAGUCGCUGCUAUUUGCUGCAGGCUGCACAAGCAACCGCCGUGAGUUAGAUUUUGAAGGUUGGGAUGAAACAUGCCAUAAAGCUUAUAUGUAGCAAUAUGGGUGCAAGAAUGGAUUCAAAGCCAAAAGGUUGGUGAAUACUUGCUGAUGUGCUCAUGUUCCUUAAG